GAAAUGCGAUAAGUAGUGUGAAUUGCAGAAUUCAGUGAAUCAUCGAAUCUUUGAACGCACAUUGCGCCCUUUGGUAUUCCUUAGGGCAUGCCUGUUCGAGCGUCAUCUAAACCUUCAAGCCCUGCUUGGUGUUGGGUGCCUGUCCCGCCUCCGCGCUCGGACUCACCUCAAAUCCAUUGGCGGCCCCCGCGUCGGCCACGAGCGCAGCAGAAACGCGAACUCGUGAGCCCGUCCGGGCGGCUCCCAGAAGCUACACCCACCCAGUUUGACCUCGGAUCAGGUAGGGAUACCCGCUGAACUUAAGC
rnacentral:misc_RNA from 1 species